rnacentral:rRNA from 1 species
AUAAGUACUUGACGUUUCCUACAGAAGAAGCACCGGCUAAUUUCGUGCCAGCAGCCGCGGUAAUACGAAAGGUGCGAGCGUUAAUCGGAAUUACUGGGCGUAAAGCGCGCGUAGGCGGUUUGCUCAGCCAGAUGUGAGAGCCCCGGACUCAACCUGGGAACUGCAUUUGAAACUGGCAGGCUAGAAUGCAGUAAAGGGAGGUGGAAUUUCCGGUGUAGCAGCGAAAUGCGUAGAGAUCGGAAGGAACACCAGUGGCGAAGGCGACCUCCUGGACUGACAUUAACGCUGAGGAUGCGAAAGCGCGGGGAGCAAACAGGAUUAGAUACCCUGGUAGUCCACGCCGUAAACGAUGUCUACUAGUCGCUGGGAAUCUUAGUAUUCUUGGUGACGAAGAUAACGCGAUAAGUAGACCGCCUGGGGAGUACUGCCGGAAGGUUAAAACUCAAAGGAAUUGACGGA